GACGAACGCUGGCGGCGUGCUUAACACAUGCAAGUCGAACGGAAAGGCCCUGCUUUUGUGGGGUGCUCGAGUGGCGAACGGGUGCGUAACACGUGAGUAACCUGCCCUUGACUUUGGGAUAACUUCAGGAAACUGGGGCUAAUACCGGAUAGGAGCUCCUGCUGCAUGGUGGGGGUUGGAACGUUUCGGCGGUUGGGGAUGGACUCGCGGCUUAUCAGCUUGUUGGUGGGGUAGUGGCUUACCAAGGCUUUGACGGGUAGCCGGCCUGAGAGGGUGACCGGCAACAUUGGGACUGAGAGACGGCCCAGACUCCUACGGGAGGCAGCAGUGGGGAAUAUUGCACAAUGGGCGGAAGCCUGAUGCAGCAACGCCGCGUGCGGGAUGACGGCCUUCGGGUUGUAAACCGCUUUCGCCUGUGACGAAGCGUGAGUGACGGUAAUGGGUAAAGAAGCACCGGCUAACUACGUG
rnacentral:rRNA from 1 species